CUGCGGACCUGGCAGCGCUCGGCGGUCCCCCCUGAAUCCCCGAGCUGGUCGCCGCUUCGCGCCGGCGCAGCCGGGAGGCGGCAGGGACACGGAGCAACUGGGCUUUAAACGGCUUUGCUGCAACUUUUAGCAUGGUCGGUGCUAUAGAGACACCAAAAUCACAGUCAAAGGGGGAGCUGCGCAUCUGCCCCAGUUCAAGAUGAAGCAAGAAGCACUAGUGAUCUCUGCAGAUUCCUGUGGCAGUAAGUCAGGUACUGCCCUUGCUGCUCCUUAAAAUGGCGGCUGAUAUGCAAAUGGAUGAGACACUGGAAUUCUGGGAUCUACUCAAGAACAAAGGACUCUUAAAACAGAAAAACAGAGUAGAAUCCAGAAUGGAAAGUAGUACCUCUGGACUGGCACAGAGGUAAGACUAUCCGCCAAAGCAGCUUCAUUCGGUCACCGUGACCUGAACCGUUCCCUAUUGGCAUGAGACCCCUGAACAACGAGCCCAAAUCAACUUCCCGGGUACACAGGUGGGGAUGAAGUCCCAGCCUUGCUGUGAAGCGAAGCUGUUUGCACUUUCUCCUCUGCGUUGCCGAAGGGAGCAGCAAGUGGUACGCACCGCCUCUCAAGCCCCCCACCCAGAGCUGAUUUCUCUA